GUCUGUACUGUGUGUGUGUGUGUGUGUCUGUGUGGUGGUCAGUGUAAUGACUACUGUACUGGUCAGUGUACUGUAGUCUCUAAGACUCACCACAGAGUGAGACUGGUACCUGCCGACAGGGACUGAGAGAUAUCGGUCUCCCUGUGCGAUGGUUCUAUACAAAACACUAACGUUCAGAAGAGACUUUGUGUGUGUGUGAGAGAGAGAGAGGUCAGUGUGUGAGAGAGAGAGUGAGGUCAGUGUGUGAGAGAGAGGGUGAGGUCAGUGUGUGUGUGUGAGAGAGAGGGUGAGGUCAGUGUGUGUGUGAGAGAGAGAGAGAGGUCAGUGUGUGUGUGUGAGAGAGAGAGAGAGGUCAGUGUGUGUGUGAGAGAGAGAGAGGGGUCAGUGUGUGAGAGAGAGAG
ensembl:lncRNA